GAUGAACGCUAGCUACAGGCUUAACACAUGCAAGUCGAGGGGUAGCAGGGUAGCAAUACCGCUGACGACCGGGGCACGGGUGAGUAACACGUAUCCAACCUACCGUUUACUCGGGGAUAGCCUUUCGAAAGAAAGAUUAAUACCCGAUAGUAUAAAGAGUUCGCAUGUUCUCUUUAUUAAAGGAUUCCGGUAAAUGAUGGGGAUGCGUUCCAUUAGAUUGUUGGCGGGGUAACGGCCCACCAAGUCUUCGAUGGAUAGGGGUUCUGAGAGGAAGGUCCCCCACAUUGGAACUGAGACACGGUCCAAACUCCUACGGGAGGCAGCAGUGAGGAAUAUUGGUCAAUGGGCGUUAGCCUGAACCAGCCAAGUAGCGUGAAGGAUGACUGCCCUAUGGGUUGUAAACUUCUUUUAUAAGGGAAUAAAACGGGGAACGUGUUCCCCUUUGCAUGUACCUUACGAAUAAGGAUCGGCUAACUCCGUGCCAGCCGCCGCAGUAA
rnacentral:rRNA from 1 species